GACGAACGCUGGCGGCGUGCUUAACACAUGCAAGUCGAACGGAAAGGCCCUGCUUUUGUGGGGUGCUCGAGUGGCGAACGGGUGAGUAACACGUGAGUAACCUGCCCUUGACUUUCGGAUAACUUCAGGAAACUGGGGCUAAUACCGGAUAUGAGCUCCUGCUGCAUGGUGGGGGUUGGAAAGUUUCGGCGGUUGGGGAUGGACUCGCGGCUUAUCAGCUUGUUGGUGGGGUAGUGGCUUACCAAGGCUUUGACGGGUAGCCGGCCUGAGAGGGUGACCGGGCACAUUGGGCCUGAGAGACGGCCCAGACGCCUACGGGAGGCAGCAGGGGGAAAUAUUGCACAAUGGGCGGAAGUGUGAGGAAGAGACGCCGCGUGCGGGAUGACGGCCUUCGGGUUGAAAACCGAUGUCGCCUGUGACGAAGCGGGAGUGACGGUAAUGGGUAAAGAAGCACCGGCUAACUACGUG
rnacentral:rRNA from 1 species